GCAGACACAUUUCAGCCAAUCAGCAGCAGACCCUCCCUCCCAGACCCUCCCAUCUCCUGGACAGCUCACUAAGAAUGCAGCUUCACAAUGAAUGUAAAAUGGAUGCUGUCCAGGAGGUGGGAGGGUCUGGGAGGGAGGGUCUGCUGCUGAUUGGCUGGAAUGUGUCU
rnacentral:miRNA from 1 species